rnacentral:rRNA from 1 species
GUCUACAGCCAUGCUACCCUGAACAAGCCUGAUGCCAUCUGAUCUUGGAUGCUAAGUAGUGUCGGGCCUGGUUAGUACUUUGAUGGGAGACCACUUAGGAAGACCAGGUGCUGUAGGUG